rnacentral:lncRNA from 1 species
UUUUUUUUUUCUUUUGAAACGAGGUCUCUUAAAUUGCCCAGGCUGACCUUGGACUUAGGUUCACUUAUCUACUCCUAGAAGCAGCAGAGGGGGUGGGGGAGGGGGGUCUGCUUUUUAAAUGAUGAAUCUUUGUGCUCACCUCUGCCCCUAACCUUCCUAUGUCAUUUCUCUCUUUGGGACCCCAAAAUGAGAGGAUUGCGGGUCCUCAAAGGGCCGUUCAAGCCCUGGCAUUCUGAAACUAAAUUAUUCCCGAAUUUCAUCUUAUCUUGUGAUACUACUUCCCCAGUUGCUAAGUGCUUUGCUCUCUGGAAGGCCAAGUUAGCUUUUCCCUAAAUCUGAGAUAGGCGGGGCUAGCAUUAUCCACUUUUGAAGUUGAGGAAAUGGGUUGAGGAAUGUGGAGUGAUGUGCCCCAGAUUAAACUGAGGAAAUGGCUUCAGGAAUUUUGGAAUGAUGUGCCCAAGAUCACACAAUUAUUAAGUGAUAGAUCCGGAACUAGAGGCCACAUCCUUUGAUCCUUGCUCAGUGCUCUUUCCACCACACCUUGAUUUUUUUGUUGUUGUUUUUUCUUUCCUUUUUUAUUCUAGGAUUUACUUCCUAACCAUAAACCAUAACUUCUGUCAGGUGUGACUCCAAGAUUACUCACAGUGAUGCCCUCAGUUCCAGGCACUUGGCAUGCUCAGCAGCCCCCUGGCUUUCCUCUAGUUCUAUCAUCCAUUCUGAAUGCCCCAUUUCCAAUAAAUUCUUAUAGUUUCUUACCAAUUUUGACUCUUAUUUGUCACACCCCCUUCAUAUCACCAUGGGCUUUCAGCAUUUUAAGCCAGAAUGCAACCCUAUCUAGGUCAGUGUACUUAAAAGACAGCUCUCAUAUAGGCUGUUAUUGCUUCUGCACUUCACUUAGC